GUUUAUUUGUACAUUGUACAUUUGACAUUCCGUUACAUUCAGAGUGUGUAAAAGUACUCUCAGUCAUUACAACCUCGAGUCAAAGAUGCACAGGUGUGUGGAUUUGCGACCAGACGUGCACAUGUGUUUCCACCAGCACAGAACAGGCCGACUUUGAAGUUUCAUUAAUGAUCCUUCCGCAGGUUCACCUACGGAAA
rnacentral:misc_RNA from 1 species